AUGACCGCCAGCAAGACAUUUUCACUUCGUAGUUUCCGUCAGUUGAGCUUUCUGGUGGAUGACCCCUGUGCUGCGGCAGGUCCCGUGAUUAAAGGUUCUGACACAGCUGUGGAUGGAUGUGCAAAGGCUGACCGGGAGCCCCGCUCCGCAUUUCUUAUCUUUGACAUCCUGUUGGUCAGUAAAUGCCCGGGGGCAAUUGAUCCGUGAACCCUGCUCUCCCCAACAGGAUAACCCUCUUUAUUUGGCAGGGGAUUGGCCCACCUGUCAGGAUCCUAAAGGUUAAUGUCAGCACCACACAGACCAGGUAACAGGGACAGAUGGGACUAUAGUAGUCAUCCACCUUGGUCUAUUAUUUGUUGUGCUUCAUUUUUGUUUUGUGAAUUUAGUGUGUGUGUGUGUAUAUAUAUAUAUGUGUGUGUGUGUGUGUGUGUGUGUGUGUGUGUGUAUACAUGAAGGUCAAGAAAAAAAAAUGCAUUAUAUAUAUAUAGAUAUACACACACACACACACACACACACACACUACUGAUCAAAAGUUUGAAUCAGUAAGACUUGCCAUUUUUAAAAAAGAAGUUUCUUAUGCUCAUCAAGGCUGCAUUUAUUUGAUCAAAAAUACAGAAAAAAACAGUAAUCUUGCAAAAUGUUAUUACAAUAUAAAAUAAUGGUUUGUAUUUUAAUAUCCUUUAAAAUAUAAUUUAUUUCUGUGAUGCAAAGCUGAAUUUCCAUCAGCCAUUACUCCAAGUGUCACAUGAUCCUUAAAAAAUCAUUCUAAUUUGCUGAUUAAUUAUUAGAAUUAUCAAUGUUGGCAACAGUUGUGCUAAUAUUUUUUUGGGAUUUUUUUUUUUUUAAUUCAAAAUAUAAAUCUUUUCUAACAAUAUAAAUCUUUGCUAUCACUUUAAUGUAUAAUGUAAUUUUAAUGUAUAUUAAAAUAGAAAAAUGUUAUUUUACAUCGUAAUAAAAUUUUACAAUAUUAAAUUUUUUCCUGUAUUUUUGAUCAAAUAAAUGCAGCCUUGAUGAGCUUAAGAAACACCUGUAAAAAACAUAAAAAAUCAUUCUAAUCCCAAACUUUUGACCGGUAGUCUGUUUGUGUGUGUGUGUGUGUGUAUAAAUAUAUAUAUAUAAAAUGUAUGUUUUAUUUUUUGACUUUCAUGUAACAAGCAAAAAAAGUUGACUAAACAACUCCAACGACAUAAAAGUGCUUGUGGUUCAACAAACACUUGUAAAUGUAGACUAACUGAAUCCUGAAAACAAGUGCAUUAUUCUUUGGUUUCACAGUGCAAUAUGGCAUUCAACAUAAGCAGCCAUCUGUACAA
ensembl:lncRNA